rnacentral:rRNA from 1 species
AAUGGGGGAAACCCUGACGCAGCAACGCCGCGUGGGUGAUGAAGGCCUUCGGGUCGUAAAGCCCUGUCGGGAGGGAAGAAAUGAUUGUGAGCUAAUACCUCGUGAUCUUGACGGUACCUCCGAAGGAAGCACCGGCUAACUCCGUGCCGGCAGCCGCGGUAAUACGGAGGGUGCAAGCGUUGUUCGGAAUUAUUGGGUUUAAAGGGUGCGUAGGCGGUUGGAUAAGUCAGCGGUGAAAGUUUUCUGCUUAACAGGAAAAAUGCCGUUGAUACUGUCUGGCUAGAAUAUGGUUGCUGUGAGUGGAAUGUGUGGUGUAGCGGUGAAAUGCUUAGAUAUCACACAGAACAUCGCUUGCGAAGGCAGCUCACAAAGCCAUUAUUGACGCUGAGGCACGAAAGUGUGGGGAUCAAA